UAUUAAUUAUUUCUAAUAAAUUAGGAAUAUUUGAAUUGUUGAUGGUUUUCUUUUUGUAAUAUUUUUUUUCUUUUUUAAAAUUAAUUAGGUAGUUUUAUUUUUUAUUUUUUCAUUAAAGUAAAUAGUUAGAAUAAGGAUGUUAUGAGGGUAAAAUGAGAUUUCUAAUAUUUUGGUGUCCUACCCCUCUUCCCAUAUAGAAUAGAGAUGAAAUACUGUACUUAAUUCAAAAAUCAACUAAAAAAUUAUAUUAUUAGAAAUCAUAAAUAAAUUCAAUAAAAUUUCUAUUUUGUUCAUAGAAUUUAACUUUGAAAAGUAAAAAAAAAAAACAAAAAGAAUGGUGAGAAACUUAAGUGACAGAAACUAAACCAAUCAAAUUUUACAACUAAAAACAAUUAUACUUUGUAUGUUUAAUGUUCAAUUUUGACUCUUAUACCAAAGAAAAUCGAAUUUCUGUUUCGAAAAAAAUUCAAGCACGCAUCGCGUGCAAAAAAUUCUAGUAUAUAUUAUGCCAGUGCAACAGAGGGAGUCAUAACAGCCUUCCUCCUAAUGGUGUAGCUGAAUGCCAUCUUGCAAGCCAUGGAUUAGUAAAGAUGCUAUCCGAUCCUCCCCCCUUCCUAUCGCAGUGACUAGUGAGUGCAUUUUAUGCUCCAAUAUUGAUUAUGUAGUUUUUUUUUCAUUCGGUAAUUAAUCGGUCCAAGCAUGAUCAAUCCUCAUGAGAUGGGGGAGGCAAGAGGGGGGAUCCCAACUCAUGAGGACACUUUCACAGAUGGGAAACCACACAAAUUUAUACUAAUAAGCAAAUAUUUACACAAACUCCUCAAAUUGGGGUUGAUGAGAGUCGAACACCUAUCCAUGUGGUUGACUUGGGAGGUUGGAGCUCCAACACUUGGGCUCCAAUGAUGACCUUUGAUUAUUUAGUAUGUAAGUGCCAAUUCACCUUAAGUACAAUGUCGAUUAUUGUACAAAGUAUUAUUUUGUAAAAAGUAAAUAGAUUAUAGUUUAUUAUUCAAAAUAAAAUAGAAAACUCAUUGUUGCAAAAGGACAACCAAUUAUGGCCUAGUAUCUUGUUAUGGGGUAAAAAUUUCUGGCAGCAAUAUAGUGGCAGCAUAUGUGUACAGGUGGCAACAAGCGAUUGGUUUGAAGAUGGAAGCAGGUUGCCAACGUGACAGCUUGUUGUGGUAUCUCCUACAAUGAUGGUAGGUAGAUCCUGAAAUGAUGGCAAGUGGAGGAAGAUCAGCAAACAACAUUUUAAUGGUCAAAGUGGUUGGCAAACUGUUGAGAAGAUCAAGGGAGAUUCCUAAAGAGUAGGAACUAACAAGUUGCAACACAUUUGACAGAUUUUGCUUAAACCGUCAUUUUUCCAACUUUAAAUACUCCUAUUGUAAACCAUGCAAAACAUACAAACUUUCUCCCACUUACUCAUACCCCUAAAAACUAUAUUACGCUCAUUUAUUUUGCCAAAUAUUGCAACUUAAUUGUUAACCUCUCUCCAAGCAAAUUGAUCCUCGUGUGAAAUUUGCCCUAAACAAUUUGGCGCCCAUAGUGGGCUGAUAAUUAAAAAAGCAAUCUUGCCAAAAUCACCAAUUUCAACAACUUGCCAAACAUUAUGGCCGAAAUCAACAACGAAGUCGGAACACCAGCAACUCCCAAGUCGCUCGUCGAGGUGCGAGGGCAAGAAGCCAUGGACCAAAUAAUGGGAGCCAUUGACAAGAUGAAACAAUCUCUCAUAGACGAGAUUGCUGCGCAAGGUGCCCCAUUCAAGAAAGAGACCGAACAACUCCGAUCCCAAAUGUUGUCCAACACGUCCAAUUCUCGCAAGCAACGCCAAAGUGAUAUUGGCAGCGUAGCCAAGCAACUUAACACGAAAGGGCUCCUUCCAGUCAAUGAAGAUGCCGGAUCUGAAUGCCAAGUCAAGUUACCCGUGUUUGACCCAUGCCAGGAUCAGAAGGAUGGCACCAGCAAUGUCAUGCAAACAUCCCAGAUAUUCUGCCUAGGCAAACUUCAUCUGAUUCUGCUUUUGCAGGUAAAUCCGCCCAUGUAGAUCCGUUGUACAAGCGACUCAAUUACGUUGAGGAGAUGAUAUUGAAGAUCCUGGGAGUCCGACGGCCUGUCGAGAAAAAUGCACUGACUAGUUAUGCAGACUCGCCAUUUGUAGAUGUUAUUGCUCUAGUUGAAAUUCCAAAGUGUUUUGCUGUCCCUGACAUGAAGCUAUAUGAUAGAACAACAGAUCCCAGUGAGCAUGUUGCGCAAUAUAAACAAGGGAUGAUUAUCAUUCCAAUAUCUCGCGAGAUGCGCGAAGCUUGCAUGUGCAAGGGAUUUGGGUCAACUUUAUCGGGUCCCGGCCUUCAAUGGUUCAUUAAUCUACCUGAUGGUGCUAUUUCUAGUUUUGCAGGUUUGGUGGACAUGUUCAACCUCCAAUUUGCCAGUAGCAGACGCCUUGAGAAGCAAACCAACGACUUGUACUGAGCUGUCCAAAGGUAUGGCGAGCCAUUAAGAGAUUACCUUAACUGAUUCAAUUGUGAGAAGGUUUCCAUCCCAAGAUGUGACGCUCCUACAACCAUAGAGGCCUUGUAAAGAGGUUUGCUCGUAGAAUCAAAUUUGCGCAUGGAACUCACAAAAUACCCUUGUCCGACAUUUGAAGAUGCCCAAGCCAAAGCUCUUGCACAAAUUUUGUUCGAGGAAGAUGUUGACACCAAAAAGGGAGCAACUUCCUAGGCAACUUUUCAAGCAACUUCCUAGGCGACUUUCCAUGCAACUGCCUAGGUAACUUUUCGAACAACUUCAUAGGCAGAUCCUAGCAAGAUGGCAACUCAACAAAGCAUUUUUUCGUGGCAAACUCAACAGGCAUCUUCCCAUGGCAAAUCAGAUUAAAUAAGGCAUCUUCCCGUAUCAAAUUAAGUAUUCAUAGGCAAAAAGAGCAACAUGUUAAUUUUGUCUUUUACUUUCAUUUUUAUUUUUUAUGCAAACGAAUAUUCAAUCCUUUAGCUAAAUUUAUUGUGCGAGAUUCUUAUCCAUUGACAAUUUCGCCCAAAUACAAAACAAUGGCAAUUUCGCCCUACAUCUAAUGACAAUUUUGCCUGAUCACAAAACAUGUGCAAACGACAACUGGUAUGACCUUUCAAAAGAAAGUAAAAAGCCUAUGCAAAUUACAAAACAAAAGAGUACGAAAAGCAACUUCAAAACGGGUCGACGUUUUAGUUUGCUACAACAUGCAUGCAUCAUACAAAUGAAACACGUAAUUUCGAGUAAAAUGACAAGCAAACAAAAGCAAAUACAAAUUGCUUCCAGCAAGCAACAUACGAGAAGCAUAUACAAAAUGUUUCUAGCAAAGAAAGAACAAAAGUGCUUCUUGCAAAUACAUACAAAAAUAGCAAGAUGUGGAGGCAUAUUCACUUUCUAAUUGUCACAUAAGGAAUUUGCAAAACAUCAUCUCGACAUGCAUCUUGCAACAAUCUCAUAUACAACUUAGCAACAUUCAGGAACACAAUUUUCUAAUUCAUUACCAUUGCUUCAACCGAAUCUGGAAAUUGGGGGCUAUUGUUAUAGGGUAAAAUUCCAGUCCAUGUGGCAACAAUAUAGUGGUAGCAUAUGUGUACAGGUGGCAACAAGCGACUAGUCUGAAGAUGGAAGCAGGUUGCCAAUGUGGCAGGUUGUUGUGGUAGGUCCUACAAUGGUGGUAGGUAGUUCCUAAAAUAGUGAUAAGGGGAGGAAGAUAAGCAAACAGUAAGUCAGUGGUCAAAGCGGUUGGCAAGCUGUUGAGAAGAUCAAGGGAGAUUCGUAAAGAGUAGGAACUAACAAGUUGCAGCACAUUUGACAGACUUUGCUUAAACCGUCAUUCUUCCUACUAUAAAUACUCCUAUUGUAAACCAUGCAAAACCUAUAAACUUUCUCCCAGCUUACUCAUACCCCUAAAAACUAUAUUUCGCUCAUUUAUUUUGCCAAGUAUUGCAACUUAAUUUGUUAACCCCCUCUCCAAACGAAUUGAUCAUUGUGUGAAAUUUGCUCUAAACAUACCUCAACCUCAACUCCGUAAGUAACAUCAAUACGACAAUACCCUACCUUCAAGCCUUUUAUUUACAAAUACAAAUUUUGUGGUUCGCCAAGCAAACAAGACAACCCCAAAAUGAUGUCUCAAUUUGGAAAUCAAAGUUUCAAACUAUAAGCUUUCAACAUUGAAAAAAUUACAAGGGACAACAGAUGCCCUUCAUAGCAGCAUUUCGGAGCAGGAAGAGCAUGGUGGGGAAUUGCAGAUGGAGUUGAGGAGUGCAACUCUCCUAACUUUGCAAGGUUAUCUUUGAAGAUAUUAUCUGUCUAGUUUCAAGACUUUGUUGAAGAGUACAACUUAGAGCUCUAAAGUUCUGCUCUAAGAAAAAAGCAGAUAUAAGUCAUAUAACUAUAUAAGGGUAAGGUGAAUGUGGGUUCUUUGCGUAAACUUGAACUACUUGAAAACAUAAACUUCUUCACGUAAAUCAUGAAUAAGCUUGAAAUCAUAUAUUUGAUGUUUAAAAUCACUAGAAUUUUUGCUUAUUGCUGCGGUUUUAUCCAUACACAGCAACAAAUCAUGUCAAAAGAAAAGGUAAAAUAGAAAAUACACCUAUUGAUGCAGUUCUUGGCCAAAACCGCAACAAUAUAUAUCAACGGGAAAAAAAAUUCAAAUUUGGUUGAUUGUUUGACCAAUUCUAUUGCUGCGAUUUCCGGUCGAAACCGCAGCAAUAGAUUAAAAUAUUAUUUUUCAAAUAAUAUUUGAACCUAUUACUGUGGUUCCUAAAAAAACCGCAGCAAUAGACUAUGAUUUAAUAAAUAAAACACGCGUGCCACUUAGGAUUUUUACUUCCUCACUUUUAUUCUCUCAUCUGGCGGUUUUCACUCAAACUCUUAUCUCUCCUCUCAUCCUCUCAUAUUUCCUCUCAUCUCUCACCACUCUCUUCUUGUCAUUCGUAGGCCGUUUUUCCUGUCUUGGCUCUCGUCUGCCGGCAAGGUGACAGACAUCAACCGACUGAUACUCCGAGAACGCCGACGAUGACUUCCUCAAUGGACUCCAAAAUCGCAUUUUGGCUCUCUACUCAUUUCCUCACCGACGACGACUUGCUCUCGUUUUGCUGAUGGGGUUAACAACGAUGAUAUUAACAACCUUGAUGACGACGAUUUCUUACCGAAGUUUACUCCCCCAACGAGAAAUCGUGGGUGUUCUCCACUUCUCCACAUCGACUUUAAUCGGGUUCGGGACUUGAUCAGGAGCAGCAGAAAGCCGUCGGCGUUAGAUAUGAUGUUAGUUUUUUUGGUUAGCAGAAAGCUGUCGGACUCCAUAGUCGGUGUUAAACCGAGUUUCAUUGUAAUUAUCAGAUCUGAUGUUAGGUGGUGUUAGAAUUAAUUUUUUUUUGAUUUUUUUGUAUAUUUUUCAUUUACAUCUUUGUUUUUUUUUAUAUGUGUGAUUUUAUAUUUAUGUAUAAGUAAUUCUUUUCCAUUACUUCUGGCUUGUAUUGUUUUAUUUUCGUCUUAUAUUUUUAUCUUUCAAAUUUGAUGGCAAAAUGCAAAA